rnacentral:rRNA from 1 species
GACGAACGCUGGCGGCGUGCUUAACACAUGCAAGUCGAACGGAAAGGCCCUGCUUUUGUGGGGUGCUCGAGUGGCGAACGGGUGAGUAACACGUGAGUAACCUGCCCUUGACUUUGGGAUAACUUCAGGAAACUGGGGCUAAUACCGGAGAGGAGCUCCUGCUGCAUGGUGGGGGUUGGAAAGUUUGGGCGGUUUGGGAUGGACUCGCGGCUUAUCAGCUUGUUGGUGGGGUAGUGGCUUACCAAGGCUUUGACGGGUAGCCGGCCUGAGAGGGUGACCGGCCACAUUGGGAUUGGGGUACGGCCCAGACUCCAACGGGAGGCAAGGGUGGGAACUAUUGCACAAUGUGCGGAGGCCUGAUGCAGCAACGCCGCGUGCGGGAUGACGGCCUUCGGGUUGUAAACCGCUUUCGCCUGUAACGAAGCGUGAGUGCGGGUAAUGGAUAAAGAGGAACCGGCUACCUAGUG